UCUAGAUUCCCCUUCCUCAAGAUAAAACCCUAGCCGCCGCCCUUGCUCUUCCUCCGUCCGCCGCGCGUCACCCAUCUUCGAUUAUUUCGUUAAACCGUUGUUCGUGUUUCGCCGUCUUCUCCGUUGUUCCGCCAUUAAGCGUCCCUUUGGUCUAUCCGUUUUCUGUCGUGUCAGCAAGCACAUUCAGUCGUCGGAGCUUUGUUUGCGUUUCCCUUCGGCAGAUCAGUUGCCUUGUCGUCGAACGUCAGUCAGAGCCCCAUCGUUUUUCGUUUUCUAGUUGCCUUCCACCGUUUCGUGCGUCGCUUUUCCAUUUUGAGCCAAACGAUACCGCACGUCGAGCCAAUCCUCCUCCGUCCGAGCCGACCCUAAGUCGCGCACCCCUGCCUAUCCGAGAUGUCUUUUCUCUAUCCAAGCCAAGCUGCCUCUAUUUUCUCUUUUGUUAGCCAAGCCAAAUUGAUCCACUCUCCUAUUUGUUUUGAGUCAUACCCACAUAGGUGUCUUCGGGGUCACCACCUUUAUAUGACUCUGUAGUCCGACGGGAUCACCAGUCCAAUAUGACAUAGACAUGAUUACGAGAGAUUCGACAGGGUCGUCACUCACAGUUCGAUUGUCUUAGUGUUUCUUUCGGGUACACUAAAGAUAAGUUUGUCUUAGGUGUUCCCUUGGGUUCACCGAAAACCAGAGAUGUUCCUACGGGAUUACAGAUUGCACGUGUUCUGAAAUGUGCCAGUUAGGGGGCAAAGGUAAAGGUAGAGGAAAGUUGGCAAGCGACAGAGAAGGAUUCGUGACAUGCCAUAUGGGGACUCAGUUUUGUUUCCGCGUCUAUAUAUCAAUGUUUCAGUAUUUUGUUUUUAAUGAAAAUUUAGUCUUUCUCCUUUCAAGAAAGUGUCUCUUAUUAUUGUUUCUUUUUAGUAACGACCUCAUCUUAGUAUAAAGAGUUGGGUUGUUACAGUUUAGGAUUUAAAUUCUUAGAAAGCUUGAUUGUUGUUGUUAAGACUAUUUUUAAUUAAGCUAAUCUCUAGGUAAAAAAUUCUCCUACUAGACUCUCUUACUGAAAUUAAGAGUUGCAUGUGAUUUCCCUAUUAUGCAUUGAUGUAGCUAAAAUGUAUAAUGUAUUGAUGACAUAUGUUGAUGACCGAUAGUUAUGACUGAGUUAUAUUUAUGAUGAUGACUGAUUAUAUUAAUAUUGAUGCAUGAAAUAUUAAUCUCAUAAUUAAGGAUAUUAAGAUAAUAUUCAUGUCAUGUUUAUAAUGUUAUGAUGUGCUACAUGCUAUGGAUAGGGUGUUAUGUUAACUUUAUCUAUUAGAGUCAUGCCCACAUGGGUGUCCUUCAAGAUCACCACCUUUUUACAACUGUGUGGUCUAACAGGAUCAUCAAUCUCUUGAGAUGAUAUACAUAUGAGUGGUCCGACGGGGUCACUUACAGCCCAAUUGUCCUAAGUGUUCCUUUGGGUUCACUAAAAACCAGUUUGUUUUUUGUGUUCUUUUGAGUUCACUGAAAACCAGUUUUGUCCAAGGUGUUCUUUUGGGCUCACCGAAGACUGAGAUGUUCCUACAGGAUCAUUAGAUUGCGUGUGUUCGAGAACACGCCAGUUUAGAAAUACUUCUUUACAGGACUCUAAUAGAAAGUUAACAGACACCUAGCGGGACUAGUAGUGAGUCUCUUACUGAGUAUAUAUUUAUAUAUACUCACUCUUUCUAUGUUUAAAUUUUCAGGCAAAGGUAGAGGUAGGGAUAAAGGGAAGCUGGCGAAUGAUAACAAGAAGUGACCGCAACUUGCCAUAGGGAAACGUUUUGCUUCCACCUUUGUGUUAUCGUUUUGAUUUCAGCAUGUUGGUAUUCUAUGACUAUUUUCUUAAAAGUAGA